UGACAUCAUCCCCCACCAUUUGCCUAUAAAUACCAAGCCUUCCCCCACCCAUUUUCUUCAAGCUAAGAGCCAAAUAUAUGCUGAGAUUUUGAAGUGAAAAUACUCUCCCAAAGUUUAUUCAAGCACCCACCAUAUUUACUUCAUCUUUAAAACCUUCGAUUCUUCAUAUACUUCGUUAUAUACACAAGGUUUUAAACCCCGAGGCUUCGUACCACCCAACCUAGCCAAAUCUCGCCUAGCUCAUUUUCAUACCACUCUCUUGUCCUCCCGAAGGGCUCUUCAAAGUUCGUGUGCAAAGCCAAAAUCCGGUCGAACCUCCGACGAAUUUUUCCGACGAACUUUUUGUAAGUGGUUAUUUUAGCUUCGUUUUACUCGUGUCUUAACCGACCAUUUUUGACAAAGGGCUUUUGAACAAAAAUAUUCUCUUCAUCUUUAAAGCUCUCCUUGUUUACAAAACACACGAGUUAGCCACUCGUUAUAUAUUUGUGCGUGUGUUUUGUCCCGGAACCUAACUCGUAUCCUUUGAGAUUUCCUCACCAAACUUUGGAGGGAUAAAUGCCUUGGCACGGAAAGCCGGAUAUAAGGCCAAAGGUAAUAAGUUAGUUAUUGUUGUGCGUGUUAUCUGUGCUUAACUGAUUAUAUCCCUACGCCCACACUAAUUAAUAUAACUCUCGUAGCUUGCCCGUACGCGGUUUGCUCAGGUUAUUAAAAUCAAUCCGACUUAAAAUCAACUAUUUAUAUUUUCCGCGCAAUAUAAAUUGUUGGACUGUUGUUGGACACUUGUUGGACUAAUCACCGUUGGACUUGUUAUAAUUGACAAACCUUAUACCUGACCGUGAUUAUUGGACUUACUUAGCGGACUAAAAUCUUAUUAAAACAAGGAUAUAUUUUCGUAGAUAUUGUGUUCUAACUUUUGCAGUGAGGUGAAGUGAAGUGAGGUGAUCUUCGUUCUAAGACCCAAGUCCUUGACGUAUUGACGGGGAGUUAAUUGUCAUUGCACCGUGAAGAAGAGGAAAGACCCGAGAUCUAAAACCUAAGACCCGAGACCGGCAAAAGGUGUAGAAGUACAAAGACUACACAAGGUUCUACAUCGACUUUGAGGAAGUAACGGGGAGUUACGUUCCGAGACAAGCUUUGUAGCUGUUUUUACAUUUAUAGUGAGGAGGUAACGGGAAGUUACGCUCCAAGAUAUAUAUCUGUAAAGGCUUCUCCGCCUACUUUAAAGGAGUAUCUUUUUAGUAGAGAAAAUCUCGAGUCCGGGGAGGAGCUCGGGGACUGGACUAGGGGUGAGUGGACUCCAUCGGUUGAGUUAGCCACCGCGAACCAGGAUAAAAUCCCUCGUGUGGUAUUUUUCUUUCUUUGCUUUUUGCUUCCGCAUUUGCAACUGCCUUUACUCUAGAUACAAGCUUUUAAAAAGGGGAUAAACUUUUUAAAACGCCAUAAAGUUUUUAAACUGGUGAUUAAGCUAUUCAACCCCCCUUCUAGCUUAAAAAACAAAAGGAAUUCCUCUCUCCUCAGCACUCUUCUUAAAGGGAGUAAUGUUACUAGCCUUACCUACAGAUUUGUUAUAGUCAAAACUUAUUCCAACAGUUCUCUUGAUCUCUUGUUUAUCAUUAAGCUCUUUGAGUAUAGUGGAGGCAUCUUUAAAGGCUUUACACUUUACUUUCUCUUCGUCUAGCUGAAGUCUAAAAGCAAUCUCACCUUUCUCUAGAACUCUGACUUUAGCACAUUGUAAUCCUAAAUCCAUAGUAAGUUGUUCAAUUUUAGGUUUUAAUACUUUCAUCUCAUUCAUCUUAUAAGCAUGAAUAUCUAAGACUAAAGUAUCAAUUUUAAGAUUGGCAGCUUUCAACUUUUUAAUAGCAUCAUCUCUUUCAAGUCCUAAUUGCAUAAAAAGUUGAGGGCAUGUAGGAUCUACCUGAAAGCUUCCAGCCAGAGGAGGUGAAGAUGAUCCGGUAUUAGCCAUGAAAGCAACAUUCCCCCUAGCUGCUCCUCUUCAUCACUAUCUGUAUCAUACCAGCUUUUCCCUUCUGCCAGAUAUGAUUUGCUUUUGAAGCUUUGACCUCCAGAAGUACCCGGAUGCUUUCUUACUAAGGCAUCAUACUUCUGCUUCAGCUCGUCGUACGAAUCCUUUCUCUUUCCUAGUGUCCCGGUUCACCACAGUUGAAACAUUUAAACUUGCUUCGAUCCACCAUCCCAGUCUUGUAUCCUCCUUUGCUUGUAGAAGAUGAGUAACCUCCUUUUUGAAACCUGUUGGCAGUAGGUUUGUACUUGUAGGAGGGGUUCUUCUCGCAUCUCAUGUUUCCAAAUUUCUUGGCAAAUAGUGAUAGAGAUUGAUCUUCUAACUGUUCUAGCUCUUCCAUUGUAUAGAACUCUUCAUCACCACUGGAAGAAGCAGUCUAACCCAUCUCAGGUUAGGGUCGAGCAAAAUCGAACCGAACCGAAGUAACCGAACCGAAUCGUCCAAGUUUGGUUCGGUUUGGUUUGAAAUUUUUGAAAAUUCUGGUUAGUUCGGUUUUUGGUUUUAACCGAACAAAAAGUUCGGUUCGGUACGGUUUCUGAAAACCAAAAUUUCGGUUUAACCGAAAUAACUGAAGUUUUAUAUAUAUAAUUUUUUAAAUUAUUUAUAUAUAUAAUUAUAAUUAUAUAAUUAUUUAAGUUUGGUUCGGUCUCCGACUGAAGAAACGAUUCAAGCUCCCUCCCCUGCUUCACUUCCGAGUCAGUACUGUUGUUUUAUGUUUACUACUACUAGUUUCUUUCCUUAAUUAUUUAAGUGUAAAACAUGCCUAAAACUGAUGUCCUGAUGUGUAUGGCUAUUCUGGAAGACCGGAAUGCAUAAUAUGUUGAUGGGUGUAUUAACCACUUUAAAUGAUCUUUAUUUUAUGUAUUCUUUUAAUUUGUGCUGAUUUUUUUUUUCAAUAUAAAGUUCGGUUUUAACCGAACCGAACCGAAAAAACCGGAGUUAUUUCGGUUCGGUUCGGUUCGGUUUGAAACACAAGUACGGUUCGGUUCGGUUUCAAAAAAUAUGAAAGUUCGGUUUUCGGUUAUUUCGGUUUGGUUCGGUUUUCGACCGAACCGACCGUUUGCUCAGUCCUAUCUCAGGUACAACAAAUUCCUGAAUGGCCUUAGAAGGAACAACAACAUCCUUCUUUUCUUCCGGUGUAGGUGAUUCAACAACUAGAGCUCUUGAAUGGUUCAGCGUUUUACCCCAGCCAUAUCUCUGCUUACUCUGAACUUGCUCCAGUUCAUAAGUUUUCAAAACUCCGUAGAGUUUCUCUAGAGAAAUCUCAUUCAGAUCUCUACUUUCCCUGAUAGCAGUGAUUCUGUGUUCCAGAUGUUCAGGAAGGGUUAAGAGAAACUUCAUGUUGACCUCUUUCUUGUCAUAGUAUUUCCCAUUCAGAUUUAAAUUAUUUAUCAAAUUAUUAAGUCUGAUAAACACCUCUGAAAUCCCUUCUCCGGGACUGGAACCAAACUGUUCAUACUGUGCCAUCAGUAUCUCUUUCUUUUUCUCUCUUACUUUUUCUGAGCCUUCGUUGAUAAUCUCUAAUGUAUCCCAGAUUUACUUCGCGUUCGUACAAUUAACAACAGCAUUGUACAUGACGGGAUCUAGGGAUUCAACUAAGAUCAGUUGAAGAGUAUCAUCUAAGUUCAUCUGUUCAUUCUCUUCAUCUGUAUACUCGGAAGGUUCUUUUGGAAAUGUCUGAUGAGGUAUUAACACACCAUCCUGUUCGUGUGCUAAUAUGACAUUCAUCGGAGUAGAAACACCUUUGUUCAGAAUCCCGAUGUAUUUUCUGUUCGCAGUGCGUAGGAAUAGUAACAUGUGCCUCUUCCAUAGGCCAAAGUGUUCUUUGCUGAACGGUGGGAUUUUAAUGCUACUAAUCUUUUGUGUACUCAUUUUUAAGGAUUUAAAGUGAAUAGUGUUUGGAUGAGAUUUGGAUUACUGAAAGAAAAAUAUUUUAAAUCAGAAUUAAUUUUUGGAAUAAAAUUAAUUUGAAUAAAAAAAUAUUUGAAACAUUACAGAGUGUGUAUAGGAUCUAAUACGUUGUAUUCAUAUUAACCGCUCUUGAUGCCAAUUGUUAGGUCCAGAUACGAUUGUAGAAGGGGGGGUUGAAUACAAUCGAUACCAAAUAAUCGCGGAAGUGAAUCUGAUUGGAAUAUGACUUGUUAAUCAGAUUAUAAUUAAUUAAUAUAACAAUGUUUUAAGUCGUUAUAUAAUUAAUAUGGUUCAGUUUUAAUGUCCACUAAUGUUCGUAGAAUAAAUUCGACAGGGUAUAUUCUAGAUUAGUGAUUAAAACAACCGGGUUAUCAAAGCACAGAAAACUGUGGAUAUAACGAUCAAGCAAGUUACGAACAACUUGAAAGCUUUACAAAUGCUUUGAUUUACAAAGUAAUGAACACUUGAAAUGAAGAAUUGAAUGCGAUAUAUAUAGGCAACCAUUUGUACUUGUAAGACAAAUAAAAGACAAGACAAAUAAGCUUGCAAAGACAAAACAAGAACGGCAAGACAAUUACAAGGCAAGGGAAGACAAUUCUAGAUUGCCUAACAAGCCUAAAACAUGCCAGAAAGACAAUUUAUAUAAGGGGCAAGAAAAUUCUGAAAGGGUAAGACAAAGCUCACACUCGGCAGGACAAAUGAAUUGUCUUGGCCAUAGGAUUUUCGGUAGGACAAUCCUUUAGGAUUGUCUUGCUGCAAUCUAUGUCAUGCGGUCAGACAAUUGAGGAUUGUCUUGGCUGUUGCUUCAAUGCUUCGGUCAGACAAUCCAAUUGUCUUGCUGGAAUGCUUCAUCAUUCGGCCAGACAAUUAAAUUGUCUUGGCAGUUUGAGGAGCACUUGGCAAGAGAAUUAGAGAUUGUCUUGCAGAGUAGAUUUAAGUGUUUUGAAUGUAAUUUGUUGUUUAUAUUUAAUAGGAAAUUAUCCACUUAAUUAAGUUAAUUAUAUAUAUUCAUAAAGUAAAUUAAUUCGAGAAUGAAUUAAUUUAAUAAAUAAAUUACAUAAUUAAUAUAAUUAUUUGAGAAGUGAAAUAAUAGUCCAUUAAAUAUUUAAACGCCCAAUCUUCAGUAGAACAGCUUCCUGUCUUCUUUAAACUUUAAUAACUUCUUCUUGAUUUGUCGAACGAACGAACUACCACUUCUGCUUGACUUCAAAUAUUUAAUUUGAAUAACUGAUACACAGAUGUACUGUCUGGUUCAUCUGUAUCUAGUUAAAUCAAAUAUUCUUCAUCAAAUAAACAAUAAGAAUUAGGUUUGUUCGUCGAGUCUUCGUCUUGUAAGUUCUUCUUCAUUAAAUGGAAUCUUCUGAAUAAAUAAAGUAUAGAAACUUUAUACCUUAUGAAUUCCUGGACGUGCCAUAAAAGAUUAUUUGUUCACUGAGGCUUGAACAUAUUAAUGACCUUCUUUCAGUAGUGUGCAGCAACAUCCUGGAAUUCUUCUGACAUAUAAUUCCCAUAAGUCAUUUGACGUUCUUCGUGCGGAUUCCGAUAACUUGCUAUUUACUGUGCUUUCAUAUCUGAGUUGAGUUGUACCUCUUUAAAUACAAAUAGGCUGAACAUAUGCCUUUCAAGUCAUAUUCCAAUCAGAUUCAGUUCCGCGAUUAUUUGGUAUCGAUUGUAUUCAACCCCCCCCUUCUACAAUCGUAUCUGGACUCAACAAUUAUCUUUCAAAAAAAUUCAGAUUUGGAUUCAGAUACAGAUAUGAAUAUGUGGAUUCGACUUCGUAUUUGGAUACAGACAAAUCCAUAUCCGAAUUAUCCGUUCGACACCCCUAUUCCCCAACCCAUUCUCACUCUCUAUCACUUCUUCUUCAUCUGUCAAUAUAUACGCAUAGACAUACAAAUAGACAUACAAAUGCUCUACACGCACCAACCACCACCACUGUACCCCCACCCCGCCCCACUAUCUUCCCUCUUCAUCUAUUUAUGCAUACGCCUAUAAAUAGGGCUAUUCACGAACAGAGCUGUUCGUGAACAUGCUCGAGCUCGACUCCAUAAAAGCUCGGUUCGGCUCGGUUCGUUAAGAACUCGAGCUCGAGCUCGAACACAUAAAUUUGUUCGUUAAGAAAACGAGCUCGAGUCGAGCUUUUAGUGUGUUCAGCUCGAGCUCGGCUCGAACUCGUUCGGCUUAAGCUCGGCUCGUUAAAACUCGAAAAAAUGCAAUAUUUUCAUGAUAAUUUCGUAAUAUAUACAUGUUAUUGAACGCCGAAUUCAACAUAUAAUAUAUCAAAUCGAUCAGGAGAAUAUUAACUAUGAUAUGGUACCAUCAAAACACACUAAAAGUUUUAUUUAGCUUGCUAUUUUAAGAGUCAAGUAGCGGUUUGGCCUUAUUUUAUUCUGGCUCGACUCGGCUCGUAUUUGUUCGUGAAAAGCUCGUGUUCAGCUCGUUAGUUAACGAGCUUGAGCUUGAACACAUGUUUUUGUUCGAUAAGAAAGCUCAGCUCGGCUCGGUUCGAUAGAAAAAAAUUUAAAGCUCGGCUCGGUUCGGUCAAAACUCGGCUCGGCUCUGUUCGUGAACAACCCUACCUAUAAAUACUACUACAGAUCUGGCAUCUGUUGUGGUGGUUGUGUUGUGAUCACUAGUGAUGAUGGUGGUUACUACUAGGCUGAUAGAGGUGAUUUUCUGGUCCUUGCGUGAAAAAACAUGGUGAUUUUAUGCUAAUUAUUUAAUUUAUGUUUACUUUUUAGCGAUUUGUCGAUAAAUUUAGAGAUUUCAUACAUUGUGUUGAUGGUAUUAAUGUCGGUGAAGGUGGCUUGGUGAAGGUGAUGAUGCCGGUGAAUAUAUUUGUUAAAACGCUAGUGAUUUGUAGUUGGCUGAAGGUGAAAAUUGGAGAUUUAAUUGAUAUGGUGGUGAUUUGUUAGAGGUGUUUAUUGCUGGAAAUGACCGUCGCAAAUGAUGAUUUUUGCAGUAGUCAAAGGUGGGGAGGUGUUGAUCACUGGUGAGUGGUGGUUGAAUUCGAAAGAAGAUAACGGUCAAAUAUUGAAAUAAGAACUAAAAUCAUGAGUGGUGGUAUAUAUGAAUGAGGGGAUAUAAUUAGAUCUCAUAUCAUAUAAUAUUGGGGAUUCUCAUUGAAACAUGACCAAAUAUGAGUUGGGCUCAAUGGAGACCAAAAAAUUUGGAGUCUUUAGAGACUACAAGAUCUACCGUUAAAAUAAUCUGGCAAUUAAUGGACAUGAUUAAAUAUUUUUUGUCCUGUAUUUUCUAGUAAUGUAAUAUUAAUAAUUUACACUAUUCUUGUCAUGCAUUUCUAGUAAUGUAUUGUUAAUAUUCUUGUCAUGCAUUUCUUGUUUUAGUUUAAAUUCGAAAUUAUCUUUAUAAUUUACACCAUUCUUGUCCUGCAUUUCUAUUAAUAUAAUAUUAAUAAUUUGUCCGGCAUAUCUGUGAUAUAUCUAAAUGUUAUUUUGUCUUGCAACAAAUUCAAUUCGUUGCAGGACAAUGACAAUGAGUUCAGUGCCAAUCAUAGCAAUGUCCAACUACAUCUUUGUUUUGUAUGUAAUUAUAGUUUUUAUUUGUUAGUAUUUCGGUGAUUGAACACCAAUAUUAUGAAAUUAUUAUUUUAUGUUAUGCAGGAUUUAGAAGUUUUUGCUUGUUGCUCACCGAUUUAAAAGUGCAGGACAGGAUAGGGAGAGAAAACAAAUGUGCAGGACAAAUAUCUGCAGCCCUUGGAUGGGUAAGAAAUGGAUGGAUGUGACUAAGUCUCCAACGCCUCCACAAAAAUCAG
rnacentral:lncRNA from 1 species